rnacentral:lncRNA from 1 species
AUAAUCCUCCAAAAUCUCACGUGGCUUUCACUACAUAAUAAUCUCAAAGAAAAUCUCUUACUAUCCCAGCCACGUUCACAUUAUACCAAUCUCGUUCCACGAGUCCUCAUGAACACCUCGUUCGUGCCCUUAAUCUCAAUUCCUCAUCAGCGCUUAAUUCGGCGACUUCAAAAUAGGCAAUAGUAGGUCCGAGCCUUCGCUCCCAAGGUCACUACCCCGAUUCACAAUACUACACCAACUCUCGCACUCCGAAGGCAAUCGAUUAAAUCGCUUAUCCCAACCACCAUAAAUCGGUUCAUAAACCACCAAUCCGACAUAGGCCUACCGCCUAACUUAAUCACAACAUUACAUAACAUCUCUCGCUCGCAAACGUAAACUCAACCAUCACCAAAACAAAGUCACCAUUUGAGACCAUGCACGGCUCCUC